rnacentral:tRNA from 1 species
UCCCUGGUGGUUCAGUGGUUAGGACUUCCACUUUUACUGCAGGGAACUCCAGGUUCAAUCCCUGGCCGGGGAA